AGGUUGAUAUGCGCAGCAGAAUGGUGAAAAUAGAUGUAAACUUGGUCAAGGUAAAGAAGAAUCUAGAAUAUCUGGAGGAAAUAUACGAGACACUAUUCCGGAAAAUAAACAGACUUCUCCCUUGAAAACACACACUGCUGGAAACCCUCAGUAUUUUUAAUCGUUUGGUUUAUUUUCAUAGCUGAAAACUUUCACUAAGCCUGAGAUUAGGUUAACACGCAUUCGAUAUCAAAAAAAGAAGCUUAAAAUUCAACCACUCAGCGUGUCAUAUUUAAGACGCUCUUUAACUGGCGUUGAUGUCGUCAUAUCAAUUGAACUAACGAUCGAACGUAAGUUUUGGAUUAAUGUUUAUUAAAACUAACGUUCAAAAUUACUAUAGUUCACAAAUGUAAUAAAAUGUGUUUGUUUAAUAAGUUCAUUUAAACGUGAUAUAAUAUUUGUUCAAAUGCUCUAAAAGCCGGUUUGUGAACCUAGCUGACUUUAGUUCUAUCGGAUAUUAGUCCAAUCGAUAAAGCAUCAAAUCUGUAAUUGUUAUCAAACGUAACUUGUAUACAGUGGGGUAUCCAAAACAGAGGAUUAUGAAGAAAAUCAAAAGUGUGUACAUUGGAAAAUCAGAUUUAUCGAUCAGGAUUAAGGAUAUCCCAUUCUAAAGUUUUCAGCUCAGGUCAAAUAAGAAGUGUUGCGUAAUGUAUUAAAAACUAAAUUUGUAUUUUGCUCUCUAAUAAACAUGUCAGAUUAUUUCAGAGCGCCUUUACAACCAGAAAACCAUGAAUGUUUAAAACUAGAUUUUAAAACGAUCUCUACAAGUCAAAUUCAAAAUUUUUGGUAUUUUGUGUAUUUUUGAUGACUUGUUUAUUUAUCAUAUAUUGGUUUGAAUGGGAUGUAUUUAAAUGACCAUCUUACAAUUUCUUCAGAAUUUUUUUCAAAACCAUGAACUCAGGAGAUUAAUUUAGUUUUUGAGAGAGACUGUUAACUAUUCUUAAUCUUUAGAAAAAUAGUUAAAAGCAAUAUCUCAAAUGUAAACUAUUCCGUUCAGCUGGUUAAUUUAGUCUUAAAAUGAAAAACCCUGUGCACCUGCAUUGCUUCAGCAAUACUUAAGUCUAUUGUAAGUGGUUACAAGGCAAAUAGUUCUACUUACACUUAAUAAAUCUGUACUUAAGCUAAUUGGAAUAUUUUAAGUCAUAACUAGAGUCUAGCAGUCGUCUUCCUAUUCCGGAGUUUCUGGUUCUCAUUGUAAUAUUUUUACUGAGAGGAUGUUUACCAGUGUACACACUUCCAUACCCGGGGUGGCAUUUGAAAAAAAUACAAUUCUGUAAAAACAAAAUCUAAUCUAAAACUGAUAUAAAUCUUUUCUGUCUUGUCAAUUAUAGAUAAUAAACUUGAAAGAUCUAA